rnacentral:rRNA from 1 species
UACGUAGGGGGCAAGCGUUGUCCGGAAUCAUUGGGCGUAAAGCGCGUGUAGGCGGCCUUGUAAGUCCGUUCUGAAAGCCCGGGGCUCAACCCCGGGAGGCGGAUGGAUACUGCAGGGCUCGAGUACGGAAGAGGCGAGUGGAAUUCCCGGUGUAGCGGUGAAAUGCGCAGAUAUCGGGAGGAACACCAAUGGCGAAGGCAGCUCGCUGGGACGUUACUGACGCUGAGGCGCGACAGCGUGGGGAGCAAACAGG